CCCCCCCCCCUUUCCCGCACUGCUUCUGUUGGAAACCACCGGGAUGGGGAGGGCCCCACGCGGAGGGGCCUCCGAGCAGCGCGGAACCUCCGCGGCCGCGCAGUGGAGAGGAGGCGCUGCCCCGGCUUCGGUGUCCGCUCAGCGCGGAGCUUCACCCACUUAAACCCCCUCUUGGUGCGCUCUUUUAAGCUCGGCGGGCCCGGGCAGGAUGUUUAUACUGAGCAAUGUAAACACGGACUCGGGGGUGCUUUAAUAAAAAGAAAUCGGCGAAAACUCCCUCUGCCUCUCGAAAUGCCCUUUUCUGCCUCCGCCGCCGGUCCGGGGAUGGGAACGGGCUUCGGUCCCCUCUCCCGUUCCGAGGUUUCUUUGGGGCUCUUUCGCUUUCUUUCUUUCUUAUAUAUAUAUAUAUAUAUAUAUUUAACUUUAGGGGGGAGGUUGUUUAUAAAUCUGCGCUUCACAAACGGCUGAAUACCGAGAGCCCCGUGCUCGGCUCGCUCGGAUGCCGCACACACAUUCACCGGGCUGGGGAAGGGGGGGGGGGGAACGGGACGGGAAGGAGAACGGGAAGGAAUAGUCCUUACCGCCCCCCCGCUUUCCUCCCAACCCUCCAGAAAAAAAAAAAUAAAAGCCCUUUUCGAGCAUCUUCCCAUCGGGAGGGCUGUCGCUCGCUCGAGGUUUCUGGCCAGCAGCUCCAAGGACUGUCACAGCCAUGUUGUGCGUUUGGGAACGUCAUGCAAUGGGGCUUUAACUGUGAAUGGAGGACAUCCUGGCCCCACUAUGGGUGGGAUAAGAACAACUCUCACCUCAAGGGGUGCACUGAUGACAGAGCCAGCUCCCACCAUCUGUGGAUUUCCUCAUCCUGGCAGCUCAGUGGGGAGCAGCAGGUCCUAGCUAAAUGCCUUGUGGUCCAGAUGCCAUGGACCAUCCCCCCUGGAUUCAAUAAGAGCAGUGCCCCUACAACACCAUGGUGAGCAGUUGCAUGGAGGUUUGAGCCAUCCCAGGGUGGAGAUCACCUUCUCCAUCCCCACAUUUGCCAUAAGCCCAAACCCAGCCCCAUCACAUGCAAUGAUAAAAAGGGAACUGGCAGCACAAAACUCGUUGUGAUUUCCAGGCUGAUGUCUGCACAACCCUACUGGCUUCUCCGAAAGAACCAAGAGACACAAACCUGUUCUGUCCUAAGGUUUCCCAUUAAGCUAAUUACUGCUAAUUGUACCACUUGGCUAUCUCACCAACCGCACCCUGAGCAGGGCUGAUAGGGUAUCAGUGAGAUAAGAAGCACUCGAAUAGCACAGGUAACAGAACUUUGGGAGGGGUUAUCACCCCUACCACCCUCCUUUGGGGGACACUGAGGUCAUAAGGAUGUGUGCAGGGGCUGGCACACAACUAUAAGCCUUUCAGGAAAUGCUACCGAGGGGUUUUGGUGACUGUUCUCUGCAAGUUGCAGAGAAGCAAGCUGGCAUUCAUUUCAUAGUAAUUCCUUUAAAUUCACUUAGCAUGCGGAUUAUUUGUAUGAGCUAUUUUUGUUGCUGUUAACACAACACUGUGGAAAUGGAGGUUUCAUUAUUUCUCCAUUUUUUCCCCCCUCCCACAGAGAAAUAAAUGCUGUUCUUUUAACAAAUGCUGUAUUUCUCACUUCAUUUCUGAUUUCUCCCCAUCUCUGCUGGCCUACCUGAAGCAAUUCAGCUCCCACACUGGCACUAGGUAGGGAUUACUAUCACCUGCUUACUAAAGAAGAGACUUGGACAAGGUGUUCUUAUUUGAAAACAUUUUUGGUACAUGACUUGCAAUAAGAUACUUGGAAUUUUCACACUCAGAGAUAUAUUUUGUUAGGUGUAUAGUCUCCCCAGCACAUGCAGCUUCUGGCUGUGAGUGUAUAAAAGCACAUCACAUCUGGCAGGUAAAACACACUGGCCACAUCAACACCUACAUGUUGUCUUGCACUCAUAUGUUUCAGAGCUUGCUGAUGCAACUACUGCACCUCAUAGAGGCAGGUGUGCUACACAGCGUGGCUGAACUGGGCAACUCAUGGCUGAGUCCCCUCACCCGAGGCUUGGGAUGUUGUUCAUGUCCAUUGCUCCAUGUAUAAGAGCAACACUGGAAGUCUGGAAAGCCAGUUAGGCAGACAGACAGACAGGACAUUUUCUUCUGUAAGGUACCCUGAUCAUCUGCUCUUCCUUUCAGAGCCUGGUCUGCAUUCACAUUGGUUUAAGUUACCCGAGUUUCUCAUUGUCCUACAGUGAAGCUCAUAACAAAGCCUGUGGCCAGCUCUUUCUUCGAUAAUUCCUUUCCCCCAUUUGUUUAUCUCAAGUAGUGAGCUUUGUUCCAGGCCCAAAACCAAAAGCCUUUCUACCCUGUUCUCUCCUUGACUUGUUGCAGAUGUAACGAAAUAAAUCUUUAGCAAGAACAAACCUUCACUUCCUCUCUCAGUCACAAACCCCAGGAAAGAAAAAUAAAUCACAACGUGAGCUCACCCGCUCUCGGAGGAUACCACGUUACUCCUGAAGGCCACCACUCAAACUGGAGGUGUCCGUCCCUCAGAGAGAUCAACGAAUGCAGCAAAUUAAUGAGCAGCAUCAGCCCAAGCUUUGACAUGAAACCAGCCCUGAAAACAAAGCCAUGUGCAGUGCCAUGAGCCAGGCAAUCCUAAUUCUCCAUGUUACCUUCCCAGUCCACUGCUCUGUGCAAGCUCUCCAGGUGAACAAGCAUUGCUAUGGGGAAACGGGCAUGGCAGAGGGCUUUCACUUUCCUUUUCAGCCUUGGGAUAUCUCCCAGUGUCAGGAGGUGACACGUGAAGGAGAGCAGCCUGAACACCGAG
ensembl:lncRNA